ensembl:lncRNA
AUGGACAAUGACAUUCUAUUGUUGGACUAUUCUAUUCUACUGCCUGCACCCCUGGACACCCUGUGUAAAUGGAACUCUAGGGUUAGAAUGAUAUUGUUGGACUAUUCUAUUCUACUGCCUGCACCCCUGGACACCCUGUGUAAAUGGAACUCUGGAGUUAGAAUGAUAUUGUUGGACUAUUCUAUUUUACUGCCUGCACCCCUGGACACCCUGUGUAAAUGGAACUCUAGGGUUAGAAUGAUAUUGUUGGACUAUUCUAUUCUACUGCCUGCACCCCUGGACACCCUGUGUAAAUGGAACUCUGGAGUUAGAAUGAUAUUGUUGGACUAUUCUAUUCUACUGCCUGCACCCCUGGACACCCUGUGUAAAUGGAACUCUGGAGUUAGAAUGAUAUUGUUGGACUAUUCUAUUCUACUGCCUGCACCCCUGGACACCCUGUGUAAAUGGAACUCUAGGGUUAGAAUGAUAUUGUUGGACUAUUCUAUUCUACUGCCUGCACCCCUGGACACCCUGUGUAAAUGGAACUCUAGGGUUAGAAUGAUAUUGUUGGACUAUUCUAUUCUACUGCCUGCACCCCUGGACACCCUGUGUAAAUGGAACUCUAGGGUUAGAAUGAUAUUGUUGGACUAUUCUAUUCUACUGCCUGCACCCCUGGACACCCUGUGUAAAUGGAACUCUGGAGUUAGAAUGAUAUUGUUGGACUAUUCUAUUCUACUGCCUGCACCCCUGGACACCCUGUGUAAAUGGAACUCUGGAGUUAGAAUGAUAUUGUUGGACUAUUCUAUUUUACUGCCUGCACCCCUGGACACCCUGUGUAAAUGGAACUCUGGAGUUAGAAUGAUAUUGUUGGACUAUUCUAUUCUACUGCCUGCACCCCUGGACACCCUGUGUAAAUGGAACUCUGGAGUUAGAAUGAUAUUGUUGGACUAUUCUAUUCUACUGCCUGCACCCCUGGACACCCUGUGUAAAUGGAACUCUGGAGUUAGAAUGAUAUUGUUGGACUAUUCUAUUCUACUGCCUGCACCCCUGGACACCCUGUGUAAAUGGAACUCUGGAGUUAGAAUGAUAUUGUUGGACUAUUCUAUUCUACUGCCUGCACCCCUGGACACCCUGUGUAAAUGGAACUCUGGAGUUAGAAUGAUAUUGUUGGACUAUUCUAUUCUACUGCCUGCACCCCUGGACACCCUGUGUAAAUGGAACUCUGGAGUUAGAAUGAUAUUGUUGGACUAUUCUAUUCUACUGCCUGCACCCCUGGACACCCUGUGUAAAUGGAACUCUGGAGUUAGAAUGAUAUUGUUGGACUAUUCUAUUCUACUGCCUGCACCCCUGGACACCCUGUGUAAAUGGAACUCUGGAGUUAGAAUGAUAUUGUUGGACUAUUCUAUUCUACUGCCUGCACCCCUGGACACCCUGUGUAAAUGGAACUCUAGGGUUAGAAUGAUAUUGUUGGACUAUUCUAUUUUACUGCCUGCACCCCUGGACACCCUGUGUAAAUGGAACUCUGGGGUUAGAAUGAUAUUGUUGGACUAUUCUAUUCUACUGCCUGCACCCCUGGACACCCUGUGUAAAUGGAACUCUGGAGUUAGAAUGAUAUUGUUGGACUAUUCUAUUCUACUGCCUGCACCCCUGGACACCCUGUGUAAAUGGAACUCUGGAGUUAGAAUGAUAUUGUUGGAACCAUUUUUUCCGCCAGUCACAGUGCUUAUAGAUUUGCUGCAUGGUGAACAAUACGAUGGACUCACACUGUGCUGUCCCUGCAGUGAGACUGAGCUAGACUGUGUGUGUGUUUGGUCUCCCUCUCCCUUUGCGACUGAACGCUCCCAUUGUCAUUGGCAGGUCAUUGCUCGGUGGACAAACGACCCCUGCCAACCUCCUGGCCAGCAAGACGAACUGAGGCUGACGUCAUGA